GGAAAAGUGACUCUUACAAGUUACGAAAGCCUUCAGGUUUUCCUUUGUAAAGCGUUUAACUGUGACCCACCCCUCCUCUCUUCCCUCCCCCUAUCCAAGGCUUCAUGAUGUCUUGCCUGCUGGCUUAACAUGUAGUUGUCUUUUUAUUUUUUUAUAUACCAGUCACAACUCAGAGAGAGGAGGGGAUAGCAAAACCUUGAAGGAUGGAGCUCAAAAUUCAAAGCAGCCACAGGGAAUUCCAAGGCAAGAGCACAAGGCAAACAAGCUGAGUGAAGAAGUGAGACCAUGCUGGAGGACAGGCGUUGGGACAUUUGACCUCUUGCUCUAUCCUGAGAGUCACCAUGCGGUCGAUGGAGGUUCUUGGUGCUGGAUACACUUCGUAUCUGGCUCCUUGUUUUACAUUUGCUGGCCUGGAUGGGAAAGACUGAAAGCUCAUAUCCUAUAGUUGGCAGGCUGGGAUCAUCUGGACACCGGGCAUCUCUUUGACCACCAUGAGUGCUGCUUCAUGAUCUGCCAGCACCAGCCAUAACUCACCAGUGCAAGAUAGAUCAUGUAUUUUGCUUUUCCCCCCAAUGACACUCAAACUAGAUAAUCUGGCCAAAAGCCAGUGACAUUUAUCCAGCAAAGAACAAGUACUUGGACUUGUCAAACAAGAGUGUCUUCAACCUACUCGAUUUAUCAACCUGCUCUUAGUGAAUGAAUGAUUUAAAGCGCCUCUGAUCUUCAUUCUUUGUGCUAACUGGCAUUUACCAUGUCCGAGCCUAAGAAAUUCCACACUCUUCCGGCUGCACUUGCUACAUCAACCAUGAGCUGUGGACUUCUGAAGGGGCAGCCAUUUUGGGUCAGGACAAGCCUUUACUGUGUGCUGAAACCAUCGGCUGAGUGAAAGAUCAGAUGCAGCAACAGAACUUCUGGCCUCUUACAAGCUAAAGCAGGACUCAAUUAUCCAUCAUCACAGAAGAAAGCACAGCAACUGACAGAGAAUCACAAAUCCCUAGAUUUUUGUCUUGCAUUUAUUGCUUGCUUAUAACACAGCACGGAUAUUCCCCAAGAGAAGUGAACAAAACACAAAUAACAAAAUAAACAUAAUGAGGUGAUGCGCACACAAGACUUUGCUUUGUGAAAGACCUGGUGAAUAAUUGGGAGAGUACGCUGUAGGAAAACGAGGGAUCCACAGCCCUGAAUAUUUUAACAAUUGUUUCUGGAUGUAAAAUAAAAUCUGAGUGUUAAGUAGA